GCGAGGCAGAGCGAACCCCCAAAAGCCGUCCCAGUUCGGAUCGCAGGCUGCAACCCGCCUGCGUGAAGUCGGAAUCGCUAGUAAUCGCGGAUCAGCAUGCCGCGGUGAAUACGUUCCCGGGCCUUGUACACACCGCCCGUCACACCAUGAGAGUCGGGAACACCCGAAGUCCGUAGCCUAACCGAAAGGAGGGCGCGGCCGAAGGUGGGUUCGAUAAUUGGGGUGAAGUCGUAACAAGGUAGC
rnacentral:rRNA from 1 species